UUUUUCUCUUGCCAAUUUGGAUAAUUAAGCUAGCCUCAUUAAGAGUGAUAUAUAUAUAUAGAAAUGAUGCAAAUGUGUAGGAUCUAUGUAGAAUUUAUUUUUCAGAUUAGUUUCUUUCAUAUUGGUUUGGUUAAUGCCAAGAAACGUAUAUUUUCUAGGACAUGGAUUCUAAGAAAGUUAUUGGAAUGAGCUUAUUAAUCGCAUUGUUGGUGGGAAUGUUGAGUGGGGAAGGGGAAGCACAAGCAGAAGUUCCUUGUUCUGAACAAUGCAUGGCUUCCUGCCUUAGCAUAGAUGGUGCUACACAAGAAAUUUGUGACGUCAGCUGUGGAAAUGCAUGCACACCAUUGUCAAGCGCAGGCGAGCUCCUCGAUGGUCUUUUUGGUUCCGGUUGAUUAGUCUCUCUAUUUUUAUGUUCGACUAGAGGUAGUAUUCAAAUAAAACGAUAUUCGCAAAGUACCAACUCGAUUGAUUAAUCUUUUAAAUAAAGACAAUUUUUUUUUUUUUUGAAAAUAAGUAAACAACUUUCUAAGAGAAUUUCAGCUCGGAAAUGAGAUUAUUGUGUAUGUUUAUAUAUUUAUUAUAAGUUCUUUUUUUUUUUCUUUUUUUGCCAUUUUUGCCUUGUAAGAUGGAAUUAAGGAUUGUUUAUGUAACUCUUAACUCUAGAGUACCAAGUAAUUGAUCCUUUUGUUUCCUGUUGGUUGUUGCUCUUUCUUUUCCUUUUUUUUGGUGUUUUAGGGACGGCUAUUCGUUGGGAUCAAUAUAGAAUGCUUUAAUGUAAAUUGUAUUUUGUCGCCUAUUAUAUUCAUGUUUUUUUUUUUUGAUAGAACUAUGAAAUAUAAUCCUGAUUUGGACCGUAGAAUGCAAAAUAUUUUUAAAAUUUUUCGAUUUUC
rnacentral:lncRNA from 1 species